rnacentral:rRNA from 1 species
UCGGGAAUUUUGGGCAAUGGGCGAAAGCCUGACCCAGCAACGCCGCGUGAAGGAUGAAGUAUUUCGGUAUGUAAACUUCGAAAGAAUAGGAAGAAUAAAUGACGGUACUAUUUAUAAGGUCCGGCUAACUACGUGCCAGCAGCCGCGGUAAUACGUAGGGACCAAGCGUUGUUCGGAUUUACUGGGCGUAAAGGGCGCGUAGGCGGCAUGACAAGUCACUUGUGAAAUCUCCGGGCUUAACUCGGAACGGCCAAGUGAUACUGUCACGCUAGAGUAUUGGAGGGGCAAUCGGAAUUCUUGGUGUAGCGGUGAAAUGCGUAGAUAUCAAGAGGAACACCUGAGGUGAAGACGGGUUGCUGGCCAAAUACUGACGCUGAGGCGCGAAAGCCAGGGGAGCAAACGGGAUUAGAUACCCACGUAGUCCCUGAGCGGGCUGGCAAGGCGCAU